GCGCCGAAGGAGCCUCGGUUGGCCC
rnacentral:piRNA from 1 species